rnacentral:rRNA from 1 species
AUUGAACGCUGGCGGCGUGCUUAACACAUGCAAGUCGAACGAUGAAAGCGGGAGCUUGCUCCUGCUGGAUUAGUGGCGAACGGGUGAGUAACACGUGAGUAACCUGCCCUUGACUCUGGGAUAAGCGUUGGAAACGACGUCUAAUACCGGAUACGACCUUCGGAGGCAUCUCCUGGGGGUGGAAAGAAUUUCGGUCAAGGAUGGACUCGCGGCCUAUCAGCUAGUUGGUGAGGUAAUGGCUCACCAAGGCGACGACGGGUAGCCGGCCUGGGAGGGUGACCGGCCACACUGGGACUGAGACACGGCCCAGACUCCUACGGGAGGCAGCAGUGGGGAAUAUUGCACAAUGGGCGCAAGCCUGAUGCAGCAACGCCGCGUGAGGGACGACGGCCUUCGGGUUGUAAACCUCUUUUAGUAGGGAAGAAGCGAAAGUGACGGUACCUGCAGAAAAAGCACCGGCUAACUACGUGCCAGCCGCCGCCGUAA